rnacentral:rRNA from 1 species
GACGAACGCUGGCGGCGUGCCUAAUACAUGCAAGUAGAACGCUGAAGGAGGAGCUUGCUUCUCUGGAUGAGUUGCGCACGGGUGAGUAACGCGUAGGUAACCUGCCUGGUAGCGGGGGAUAACUAUUGGAAACGAUAGCUAAUACCGCAUAAGAGUAGAUGUUGCAUGACAUUUGCUUAAAAGGUGCAAUUGCAUCACUACCAGAUGGACCUGCGUUGUAUUAGCUAGUUGGUGGGGUAACGGCUCACCAAGGCGACGAUACAUAGCCGACCUGAGAGGGUGAUCGGCCACACUGGGACUGGGACACGGGCCAGACUCCUACGGGAGGCAGCAGUAGGGAAUCUUCGGCAAUGGACGGAAGUCUGACCGAGCAACGCCGCGUGAGUGAAGAAGGGUUUCGGAUCGUAAAGCUCUGUUGUAAGAGAAGAACGAGUGUGAGAGUGGAAAGUUCACACUGUGACGGUAUCUUACCAGAAAGGGACGGCUAACUUCGUG